rnacentral:lncRNA from 13 species
AUGCAGCUGUUGGGUUUGGAUGAGGGCCAGGAAGGGGAAGAGGGUACCUCGGACACCGUCACAGCCAGGGGAGCCUACUUGUCACUCCUCUACCUUCGACACCUCAAGAUCAGGGAACUGCAGCGCAUCUCCCUAGGCAUUCUAAACUACCUGAGGUCCAUAGAGAGAACCCUGACUUUUGACACAGCUGGGAUGAGUGUGGAGGGAGGAGGAGCACGUGGAGGAGGAGCAGGAGGAGGAAGAGCAGAAGGAGGAGGAGGAGGAAGAGGGGAAGCAGGAGGAGGAGGAGGUGAUUUGGUCAGCACCACUGAGGAGUCAAGCUGGAUGAAUGCGGCCAGAGGGUGCAGUGGGACAGUCGGAGGUCUGGGCUCUCACCUCUACAGCCACAACACUCCUGUUGACUACAAGGUUCACUGUUCCGAGUUCAUGGAGUACCCAGAGGUGGAGAAUCUUCAUGAUUUCUACACCACUGAGGAGAGAUAUGUCCACACCCAGGACCAGCGAGGGCUCUACGUGGUGUACGACGUGGCUCUGAAGGACCUGGAGGAGCUGGAAGACACACUGAUUCUUCUGGGCUCACACUAUAUCCAGAGGAGUAGUUGGAGGGUCAAGGGCCAGUCUGAGGGCAGCAGGGUCAAGGGUCAGUCUGAGAGGUCACCUAGCUCUGCAGCGACAGACCUCCACUCUGCCUGGGCUCAGACAGAUGUGGAUAGAGUUGCAGUUCUCCUAGACCUGUGGACAUGCGAAGCUGCUUUUUUGGAGAGCAAAGUGCAGUUGUUGAACUGCUAUAUUGAGGCCUACCAGCAUGUGACAGGACCAGAGGAGAGGUUCUCCUUGGCUCAGGUCAUCACAGACAUCAUGCACAGAAGGCCUCGGCUACACCUGGACAUGGGAGCAGAGUACUUUGUUCAGGCCUACCGGGCAGAGAUGGUCUGCAUGCAGACACACCAGCAACUCAUCAGAGCCGUGCUGGACAACCAAAUAGAUCGUCAGCGGCAAUACCUCCACCAGGUGUGGAGAGGAGGUCAGGGACAGGAAGCUACUCCUUGUGACUAUGGUCUUCCUCCUAACUAUGUGGCCAAACAUCUGGUGUCCCUCGGUGGUGGCAGGCAAGUCGUAGUUCUACCCAUGAAUUAUAGACUGAUCACAGUGUAA